AAAUUGAAGAGUUUGAUCAUGGCUCAGAUUGAACGCUGGCGGCAGGCCUAACACAUGCAAGUCGAGCGGUAGCACAGAGAGCUUGCUCUCGGGUGACGAGCGGCGGACGGGUGAGUAAUGUCUGGGAAACUGCCUGAUGGAGGGGGAUAACUACUGGAAACGGUAGCUAAUACCGCAUAACGUCGCAAGACCAAAGUGGGGGACCUUCGGGCCUCAUGCCAUCAGAUGUGCCCAGAUGGGAUUAGCUAGUAGGUGGGGUAACGGCUCACCUAGGCGACGAUCCCUAGCUGGUCUGAGAGGAUGACCAGCCACACUGGAACUGAGACACGGUCCAGACUCCUACGGGAGGCAGCAGUGGGGAAUAUUGCACAAUGGGCGCAAGCCUGAUGCAGCCAUGCCGCGUGUGUGAAGAAGGCCUUCGGGUUGUAAAGCACUUUCAGCGGGGAGGAAGGCGGUAAGGUUAAUAACCUUGUCGAUUGACGUUACCCGCAGAAGAAGCACCGGCUAACUCCGUGCCAGCAGCCGCGGUAAUACGGAGGGUGCAAGCGUUAAUCGGAAUUACUGGGCGUAAAGCGCACGCAGGCGGUCUGUCAAGUCGGAUGUGAAAUCCCCGGGCUCAACCUGGGAACUGCAUUCGAAACUGGCAGGCUAGAGUCUUGUAGAGGGGGGUAGAAUUCCAGGUGUAGCGGUGAAAUGCGUAGAGAUCUGGAGGAAUACCGGUGGCGAAGGCGGCCCCCUGGACAAAGACUGACGCUCAGGUGCGAAAGCGUGGGGAGCAAACAGGAUUAGAUACCCUGGUAGUCCACGCCGUAAACGAUGUCGAUUUGGAGGUUGUGCCCUUGAGGCGUGGCUUCCGGAGCUAACGCGUUAAAUCGACCGCCUGGGGAGUACGGCCGCAAGGUUAAAACUCAAAUGAAUUGACGGGGGCCCGCACAAGCGGUGGAGCAUGUGGUUUAAUUCGAUGCAACGCGAAGAACCUUACCUGGUCUUGACAUCCACAGAACUUUCCAGAGAUGGAUUGGUGCCUUCGGGAACUGUGAGACAGGUGCUGCAUGGCUGUCGUCAGCUCGUGUUGUGAAAUGUUGGGUUAAGUCCCGCAACGAGCGCAACCCUUAUCCUUUGUUGCCAGCGGUUAGGCCGGGAACUCAAAGGAGACUGCCAGUGAUAAACUGGAGGAAGGUGGGGAUGACGUCAAGUCAUCAUGGCCCUUACGACCAGGGCUACACACGUGCUACAAUGGCAUAUACAAAGAGAAGCGACCUCGCGAGAGCAAGCGGACCUCAUAAAGUAUGUCGUAGUCCGGAUUGGAGUCUGCAACUCGACUCCAUGAAGUCGGAAUCGCUAGUAAUCGUAGAUCAGAAUGCUACGGUGAAUACGUUCCCGGGCCUUGUACACACCGCCCGUCACACCAUGGGAGUGGGUUGCAAAAGAAGUAGGUAGCUUAACCUUCGGGAGGGCGCUUACCACUUUGUGAUUCAUGACUGGGGUGAAGUCGUAACAAGGUAACCGUAGGGGAACCUGCGGUUGGAUCACCUCCUUACCUUAAAGAA
rnacentral:rRNA from 1 species